CUGAGUGUAAAAACUCCCAAACCCCUGUGAACAUACCAUCUGUUGCUUCGGCGGGAUCGCCCCGGGCGCCUUUGCGUGCCCCGGAUCCAGGCGCCCGCCGGAGGACUCCAAACUCUUGUUUUUAUAUGUGGCAUUAUCUGAGUGGCUUAUAGCAAAUUAAAUCA
rnacentral:misc_RNA from 1 species